rnacentral:rRNA from 1 species
CAGUCGCCGGGUAAUACGAAGGGUGCAAGCGUUACUCGGAAUUACUGGGCGUAAAGCGUGCGUAGGUGGUGGUUUAAGUCCGUUGUGAAAGCCCUGGGCUCAACCUGGGAAUUGCAGUGGAUACUGGGUCACUAGAGUGUGGUAGAGGAUAGUGGAAUUUCCGGUGUAGCAGUGAAAUGCGUAGAGAUCGGAAGGAACAUCUGUGGCGAAGGCGACUAUCUGGGCCAACACUGACACUGAGGCACGAAAGCGUGGGGAGCAAACAGGAUUAGAUACCCCUGUAGUCCCUGUCUCUUAUACA